rnacentral:ncRNA from 1 species
GCAUGUGACUGACGGAAGUGGAGCUACCACGGGGAGCAUGGUUCAUUACAGCCGACCGUCUGGGCG